ensembl:lncRNA
AUUAGAGGACCAUUCCACUCCAUCUUUUUGAAAACGUUAUUUCUGAACGUUGCAUUUGUUAUGGGAAAGUUACAUUUGUUAUGAGAACGUUAUAUUUAUUAUGAGAAUGUUGAAUUUGUUACGAGAACAUUAUAUUUGUUAUGAGAAUGUUGAAUUUGUUACGAGAAUGUUACAUUUGUUAUGAGAAUGUUGAAUUUGAUAUGAGAACGUUAAAUUUGUUAUGAGAACGUUGAAUUUGUUACGAGAACGUUACAUUUAUUAUGAGAAUGUUGAAUUUGAUAUGAGAACGUUACAUUUAUUAUGAGAAUGUUGAAUUUGAUAUGAGAACGUUACAUUUGUUAUGAGAAUGUUGAAUUUGUUACGAGAACGUUACAUUUGUUAUGAGAACGUUGAAUUUGUUACGAGAACGUUACAUUUGUUAUGAUAAACUUACAUUUGUUAUGAGAAUGUUGAAUUUGUUAUGAGAACAUUACAUUUGUUAUGAGAAUGCUAAAUUUGUUACGAGAACGUUACAUUUGUUAUGAUAAACUUACAUUUGUUUUGAGAAUGUUGAAUUUGUUAUGGGAACGUUACAUUUGUUAUGGGAACGUUACAUUUGUUUUGAGAAUGUUGAAUUUGUUAUGGGAACGUUACAUUUGUUACAAGAAUGUUAUAUUUAUUACGAGAACGUUGCAUGUGUUACGAGAAUGUUACAUUUGUUACGAGAACGGUACAUUUGUUACGAGAACAUUGCUUGUGUUACGAGAACGUUACAUUUGUUACGAGAACAUUGCAUGUGUUAUAUUUGUUACAAGACGUUGCAUUUGUUAUGAGCAACAAUUUUUUUUAAAUUAACUUUUUUUCUGAUCAAUAUUAUUGAACACAGUUUUGAACAAGUUCUGGGAAUGUACAAAUAACAUCAUAAGGUCAUUCUGAGAACUUUGUUCUAAAAAACAUUUCCCCUCAACAUUAGGAAAGCAUAUAUCAAAUAUUAAUAAAGUUGUAAGAACAUUCUAUAAACAUUUCAAGAAUGUUUUGUCCUAACGUGCAUAACCUUUAAAAAACAUUAUGGAAACAUUCUCUGUUAGUUGGUCCUAUGAUGCUU